GAAGUUGCCCAUGUUAUUUUU
rnacentral:miRNA from 1 species